rnacentral:rRNA from 1 species
ACACAUGCAAGUCGAACGAGAGAUGAGGAGCUUGCUCUUCAAAUCGAGUGGCGAACGGGUGAGUAACGCGUGAGGAACCUGCCUCAAAGAGGGGGACAACAGUUGGAAACGACUGCUAAUACCGCAUAAGCCCACGGCUCGGCAUCGAGCAGAGGGAAAAGGAGCAAUCCGCUUUGAGAUGGCCUCGCGUCCGAUUAGCUAGUUGGUGAGGUAACGGCCCACCAAGGCGACGAUCGGUAGCCGGACUGAGAGGUUGAACGGCCACAUUGGGACUGAGACACGGCCCAGACUCCUACGGGAGGCAGCAGUGGGGAAUAUUGCACAAUGGGGGAAACCCUGAUGCAGCGACGCCGCGUGGAGGAAGAAGGUCUUCGGAUUGUAAACUCCUGUUGUUGAGGAAGAUAAUGACGGUACUCAACAAGGAAGUGACGGCUAACUACGUGCCAGCAGCCGCGGUAAAACGUAGGUCACAAGCGUUGUCCGGAAUUACUGGGUGUAAAGGGAGCGCAGGCGGGAGAACAAGUUGGAAGUGAAAUCCAUGGGCUCAACCCAUGAACUGCUUUCAAAACUGUUUUUCUUGAGUAGUGCAGAGGUAGGCGGAAUUCCCGGUGUAGCGGUGGAAUGCGUAGAUAUCGGGAGGAACACCAGUGGCGAAGGCGGCCUACUGGGCACCAACUGACGCUGAGGCUCGAAAGUGUGGGUAGCAAACAGGAUUAGAUACCCUGGUAGUCCACACCGUAAACGAUGAUUACUAGGUGUUGGAGGAUUGACCCCUUCAGUGCCGCAGUUAACACAAUAAGUAAUCCACCUGGGG